rnacentral:rRNA from 1 species
CAGGACGAACGCUGGCGGCGCGCCUAACACAUGCAAGUCGAACGGAACUCUAUUCUGGAAGUUUCGGAUGGAAGGGACAGAGUUAGUGGCGGACGGGUGAGUAACACGUGAGCAACCUGCCUAUCAGAGGGGGAUAACGAUUGGAAACGAUCGCUAAUACCGCAUAACGCAGCGAGAGGACAUCCUUUUGCUGUCAAAGAUUUAUCGCUGAUAGAUGGGCUCGCGGCCGAUUAGAUAGUUGGUGAGGUAAUGGCUCACCAAGUCGACGAUCGGUAGCCGGACUGAGAGGUCGAACGGCCACAUUGGGACUGAGACACGGCCCAGACUCCUACGGGAGGCAGCAGUGGGGGAUAUUGCACAAUGGGGGGAAAAACCCCUGAUGCAGCGACGCCGCGUGUAGGAAGACGGUCCUAUGGAUUGUAAACUACUGUCUUCGGGGAACGAAAAAGACGGUACCCGAGGAGGAAGCCACGGCUAACUACGUGCCAGCAGCAGC